GAUGAACGCUAGCGGCAGGCUUAAUACAUGCAAGUCGCGGGGCAGCGCAGUGUAGCAAUACAUGGGCGGCGACCGGCAAACGGGUGCGGAACACGUACACAACCUUCCUUCAAAUGGGGAAUAGCCCAGGGAAACUUGGAUUAAUACCCCGUAACAUUAUGAAGUGGCAUCACUUUAUAAUUAUAGCUCCGGCGUUUGGAGAUGGGUGUGCGGCUGAUUAGGUAGUUGGCGGGGAACGGCCCACCAAGCCUUCGAUCAGUAACUGGUGUGAGAGCACGACCAGUCACACGGGCACUGAGACACGGGCCCGACUCCUACGGGAGGCAGCAGUAAGGAAUAUUGGGCAAUGGACGCAAGUCUGACCCAGCCAUGCCGCGUGGAGGAUGAAGGUCCUCUGGAUU
rnacentral:rRNA from 1 species